AACGAACGCUGGCGGCAGGCCUAACACAUGCAAGUCGAGCGAGGACUUCGGGUCUAUUGGCGGUUGGCUGAGUAACGCCUGGGAAUGUGCCCUUGUCUACGGAACAGCCCUGUGAAAGUGGGAGUAAUACCGUAUAGGCCCUAUUUGGGUAAGAUCUACCGGAGAAGGAUGAGCGCGGGUUGGAUUAGGUAGUUGGUGGGGUAAUGGCCUACCAAGGCGGCGAUUCGGAGCGGGUCCGAGAGGAUGAUCAGCCACACUGGAACUGAGGAACGGCCCAGACUCCGGCGGUAGGCCGCAGCGGGGAAUCUUAGGCAAGGGGGGGGAGGCUGAUGCAGGCAUGGGGGGUGUAUGAAGACGGCCCUCGGGGGGGAAAGUAAUGACAGCGGGGGGGAAGAGAGUACAGUUAAGACGGUAGGUCAUUGACGGUACCGGCAGAAGAAGCCCCGGCUAACUCCGUG
rnacentral:rRNA from 1 species